rnacentral:tRNA from 1 species
CGCGGGGUGGAGCAGUCUGGUAGCUCGUUGGGCUCAUAACCCAAAGGUCGCAGGUUCGAAUCCUGCCCCCGCUA